GACGAACGCUGGCGGCGUGCCUAAUACAUGCAAGUCGAACGAGUGGCGGACGGGUGAGUAAUGUCUGGGAAACUGCCCGAUGGAGGGGGAUAACUACUGGAAACGGUAGCUAAUACCGCAUACCAUCGGAUGUGCCCAGAUGGGAUUUGCAAGUAGGUGGGGUAACGGCUCACCUAGGCUACGAUCUUUGGCUGGUCUGAGAUGAUGAUCAGCCACACUGGGACUGAGACACGGCCCAGACUCCUACGGUAGGCAGCAGUGGGGAAUAUUGCACAAUGGGCGCAAGCCUGAUGCAGCCAUGCCGCGUGUAUGAAGAAGGCCUUAGGGUGGUAAAGUACUUUCAGCGGGGAGGCGUUACCCGCAGAAGAAGCACCGGCUAACUCCGUGCCAGCCGCCGCGGUAAUUC
rnacentral:rRNA from 1 species